ACAGACCUCAGCCUUGCCUGCUGCACUGACUGCUGAAAACCUGCCUGAACUGGGGACAGUCUGCUUAAUAGAAUCUCUGAACUGCAAAGGCUGGUUUUGGCCUGGCCUCCUGAAACCCGACAGAGGUUCAUUGGAGAGCUGGAGGUUGAGGAGGGGCUGAAGCACUGACUGUCCCAGCAACACCCAAAUCUCAGAGACUCAAAAUUCAACAAAUUAAAUCAGGCCUGAGGGAUGCUGUGUGUCAGCGGAGGCAGGGAAUCCAAGCAAGGAACACCAGAGGGUCUGAGGAUCCUGGGGAGGGAAGUGUUCCCUGAGAAACCCUCACGGAGCUGUUUUGGGCACGGGCUGAGCAGCAGAAAGGCUCCUUAUGGCAGCCACCAGCCUGGUUUUCUUCUCUGUGUGACGGAGUUGUGAGGAGGGACUGUUUCCUGUGACAUGGGAAUGUUCUCUUCAGGGUGGCAU